GCGUUGCGCAGUACAGUUGUGGGGAUGUCUGAAUCACUGAGGGGCAGUCUUGCGGCUGUAUCGUGUACUAGCGAAGACUACUAGGGUGUGGAUUGGAUAGUCAGGACUUCUAAUUGCCCCCCUCCCCGGGAUGAUUUGCAGAGAGCCUGGGGCAAGAUUGGUGCUUGCUGGAUGCACACAGAGCGCAUGUAUAAUGCAGACCUCCCCUGGCUGGUUCAGCAAAGAGAAAAGUCAUUUCAUUGGCACUGACAGAAUGUGCAGAUAUUCAGACCACGUGAACAGAACUGGAAAAUCGCCUCCUGGCCUCUUACUGUCUACACUCAUAGGAUUCUAUAGAUUAUCUCCUCAUAUUUUCUAUCUCCACAUGCUUCCCCUUCUCAGUCCAUUGUUUCUACAAAGCAGAUGGGAAUACAAAGCAAACAGCAAGUCUGCAAGAGAUGUGCUCGCCGUCUCUAUAGAAACGCAGCCCCAGGAGUGUGCUUGGCUUCGAUUUGUCCCAUCAGACGUCAGCGCACAGAAUUCCAUGUCACAUGGAUUAGAAGACAGAGGAACUCCCCUCCCUAUGCAUAGGAGAGCCUUCUCGCACAAAGCCCUUAGCCUUUCAUUCAGUACAACUCAUCGCAUCUCUUCCUGACUCCACAUGAUAUGGCAGAAAGCUUUGUCUGCAAAAUCCAAGUAGCUGACAGCAGGAAAUUUGCAGGUUAAGAUGAAAAAUUUGCAAUGUUGAGUUGAGCAUCUUUUUCACCUGAUCAAGCCCUGCUGUCUUAUGAUUUCUAUUAACCAUAACUGUGACAGAUCUCAAUUUGUCCAAAAUAUAUAUUCUAUUCUAAAUGUAACCCCUUUGCUUCCAGGGUGUGCAGGAAUAGAUAUGCAGCUCUUUAUAAAUGUAUGCAAAAAAAAAAAAAAAGACGACAUCUCUAAAGCAAAUAAAAAUAAUAAACAUAUAAAAGGAAACUACAAAA